AUGAACCAACUAGGAGCAAGAAGAAAACGACACUACUUAUUUGUAACACCUAAGAUUGGUAAAUCAAGGAAUCAUCAUAAUCCAUUCCAUCUCUGGCCAUCUAUAUGCCAUGCUCCAGAGUUCUGGCCUCAGCCCCAGAUUGGUGAGCAUUCACCAUAAUUAGUCCAUACUAUCCUACUUUUUCCCACCCCAUC
rnacentral:lncRNA from 1 species